AAAAAAAAAAAAAAUUUUAUCUUUUAACAUAAAUCUUCAUCUCAUUCAAAUGGGCAAAUUUACAAAAUAAAGAGCAACACAAGAAGGAUAAAAUAAGAAUAAAUCCAAGUUUAAAGCGGAAGAUCACUACUAUUAAAAAAGAAGGCUAAAGAAGAGAAAAUUUCAGAGCAAAAGUUUUCAAGACAAGUAAUAUAGUAAUAAAACUUGU
rnacentral:misc_RNA from 1 species